rnacentral:lncRNA from 1 species
AGACAGACAGAGCGGGAGGGAGGAGGGCGGCGGAGGAGGAGCAGGAGGACUACGCGGGGCGCCUUCCCUCCCAGCCGGGCGCCCGCGUCGCUGCCGCUGGCGGAAGAUAGACGCCCCCCGAAACCCCUCGCCUGGCUCGGACCCCGGAGCCGGCAGCCCAGCACUCCGUCAACAAGUGUAUAUAGAGCAUUCAUUGCCUUAACACACAUCGCAGGAGCAUUGUUUAUGGGUGAAGCCCCAGGGAGACUGAUAACAAAGACAGGCACAGGCUCUUUUCUCAUUCCAAGUUUUGUGACCAACCUGGCCAUUUGUUGCUUCUCUUUUUCUACUAGAUUGGAAGGUAAGCCAUGAUCGGUAUAUGUAUGAAGUCAUAAUAGGAACACGGUGGGAAGGGUGUUCUAGCCAGAGGGAACAGCAUGUACAAAGCCUGAAGGCAAUCAAAAUUUGAUGUGCUGAGAGAAUGUAGUACAGUUCAAAGAGCAGAGGAGAGCUUCGAAGAGGGCAGAAGCCAGGUGGUACAGAAUGGUUGCCCUGCUCAAGGAGGUGAGUUUUGUCCAGUGAACCACGGGAAGAAACAGGAAGUCUUAAAAAAAAAAAAAAAAAACAAAAACUUAUUUAACUUUUAUUUUAUGAACACUGGUGUGAAGGUGUCAGAUACCCCAGAACUGGAGUUACAGACAGUUGUGAGCCGUCAUGUGGGUGCUGGGAAUUGAACCUAGGCUCUUUUGAAGAGCAGCCAAUGCUCUUAACUGCUGAGCCAUCUCUCUAGCCUUGACACAGGAAGUCUUUAGCAUCAGAAUCUGCAUUAGAUUAGAAUGGAAACAAGUAGUUGGAAAAGUUUGGGUUUGUUUUGAGACAGGGUCUCACUGCGGGGUCCUGGCUGGCCGGUCCUGGCUGGCCUGGAGCUCACAGAGCUCCUCCCACUCUGUGUGAGGCACCACACUUGGCCUUGUUGUUUUGCGACAAGCUCUCACCCUGUAGUUCAGGGUAGCCCCAGAACUCAUUGUGUAGCCCAGAAACUUGCUGUUCUGCCUCAGCCUUCUGGGGUCCCAGGUGGCUUAUCGGGGAGGUUUGAGUGGUACAGACUGUGGUCUUACCUAGAAGCAUGCAGCAUAGAAGGGGAGAUUCAGGUACGGGAAAGGACUGGUGUGGUUCCAGG